rnacentral:sRNA from 1 species
CUGUCCCUCUGAGCAGCUACUGUUGGACCCUUUUACAGAUGUAUCCCCCAUAUCUCCCGUUCCCUCCGCCCUAUGGACCCCAGGGGCCUUACCGAUACCCCACUCCUGAUGGGCCCAGGUGAGCAAUCCAGGUCUGGGUUUGUGGCUGGGGGCAGGGGAAGCUUAUUGGGGGAGGAGAUGGUUUUCUAGCCAGGAGGCUCAGUCUAGGAUCAGUCUCGCAUGUGGUUAUACAACAUGCCAUAUUUCAUUUUUUUGUGUGUGUACAGCCGUUUUCCCCGUGUGGCGGGCCCCCGAGGCUCAGGGCCACCAAUGCGCUUAGUAGAGCCUGUGGGUCGUCCCUCUAUUCUCAAAGAGGAUAAUCUCAAAGAGUUUGAUCAGUUGGAUCAGGAGAAUGAUGAUGGUUGGGCAGGGGCCCAUGAAGAGGUUGACUACACUGAAAAGCUCAAGUUCAGCGAUGAGGAAGAUGGGCGAGACUCUGAUGAGGAGGGAGCUGAGGGCCACAAGGAUUCCCAAUCAGCUUCUGGUGAGGAACGGCCCCCUGAAGCAGAUGGCAAAAAGAGCAACUCCCCCAACAGCGAACCGCCAACUCCUAA